rnacentral:lncRNA from 1 species
CACGAAAACUUUGAGGCAAGUGUUCAUAUUAUCCUCCCUCUACUGAUGAAGGAACCAGACCUUGGAAGUAUCAAGUAAGUUUCCAGAAGGCGCACAGUUAAGGGGUGGAAGGGAGACCCUCAGCUAGAGCUGUUUAUUCCUGAGAGACUCACAUAGGCCUUCCUAUUGAUCGGCCUGCCUUCCUAUUUAGUUCAAGGACAGGAAGACAGUGGCGGAACAUUCUGUUAAGGUUCCUGCCUUCUUCCCUGCAGGUGGGAUACAGGCCCCUCGUCUCGCCUUCACAUCCUUCUUAUCCUCUGACUGCUGGUUGCCGUUUUGUGUCUGGCUGUGCUGUUCAGGACAAGUGGAGUCUGAGUUUUUGACAGAGAAUCAGAGACUCUUGUAAGAAUUCCCACCUGCAACCAGUACUUGCAUCCGGAGGCAGAGGUAGAGCGAGAUGAGGCUGCCAUGAUAGCUGGAGAGACUUGCUGCCUCCUCAGGCUCCCGGCUCCACCUACCUUCUACAUGCUGAUGACUCACUCCAAAGUGUACAUCUUCUGUCCAUAAUUUCUGGGGAUCCAGUGGCGGCAACCUGCUUCUAGAGGGACCAGGAGCUUCGGGACCCCUCUGCCUUGGACCAACAGGAAAAGCAGGAAAGUCAGGGGCCAGAGAAACAUGUGAAAUGACACCAAGGAGAUGGAUGCAACUAACCAAAUCCAGAAUAUGGGCAAGAAGACCAGGCAAGGAUCCGGUUUCCUCAAUAAACCAACUGAAAAGAAAACAAAAAGGGCAGUGAUAUAGAUUAAAAGAAAUUUAAGAGACGUAUCAAACAAAUUCUUUGCUA